rnacentral:misc_RNA from 1 species
AAGAAUCGCCCCGUUUUUUGAAAUGGGUUCUAUUCCCAAACCGUGUAUACAUACCUUUGUUGCUUUGGCAGGCCGCCUUUUAGGCGUCGGCUUCGGCUGACUGCGCCUGCCAGAGGACCCCAACCUCUGAAUGUUAUCGUCGUCUGAGUACUAUAUAAUAGUUA